UAUCUCGACGAUGUUGUCGUGCUCAUUACCUUACUGAGACGUCUCUUGUGACUGUAGCCAGUGUCACGGAGGAUUUUAUUGGCGUGACAAGGUAGAUCGCCGAGAUCGAGCGUGAAAAACGCUCUGCAUUAGUAGCUCCUGUAGAAUGUUUUCUGGGUUGGCGUAUCCAUGGUCAACAAAACCAAGGUGCAAGACAGCAUGAGAGAUCGUGUAAACGAUGUGAACUCCAAAAGAUAAUCUGGCCAAAUUUAUUGUAAAUAGAGAGUGCAAUCGUGCUUGGGGCCCAUCCCAAUGUCAUCACAUGGCUGUGGUGACUAGUCUAUAUCUGGGAGAAUUUUUCCUCGACUGAUACGGAGUGCAGGUGGAUCGAUUAUGAGAAAUGCGAACAUGUGAAGUUCAAGGCUAGAUGCACUUCACAUUCGGCGGGCGAUCUCAGCGUCUGGGACCUGAUGAAGUCUUGGUUGGAUGAUUAUUCAAGCCUGAUACUACUCGACACACCAAUGUUCAUGUCUAUGUAAUUUUUUCAGAGCUGCACUAUUUACGUGUUGAUGCUUACUUCGGUGUUAACGUGUUUCCCCCGGAUCGUUUCUAUCAUCAUGAUCGUGUGUUCUUGGGCUGAGCGAGCACAUGCACAAGUGUGCAGCUAUAACCCUGUGUAUCUUUGGUUACACUUUGUUCUGCAAUGCAUGUACCUUGUAACAUUAUGUGCUUGCACUGCUUUUUCUGGCCUGCGUACUUCAGGACUAUUCAGUGCAUUAGACCCAGGUUUGUUUGGUUGCCGGAUGAUCUCUUGUUGCGUCGCUCUGUAUUUGUAUUCAUCAAUUUUUGGGCUUGAGAAUUGAGCUAUUGUGUGGUUCCCAAUAUGAAAACAUCAUGCUGGUGCUCUGUGUUUCGAUUAUCGACUGUCGGAGCAGUCAUGCAUUUAUUAGCAGAACGGUCAAUACUGUAGUCUUUUCA